GACGAACGCUGGCGGCGUGCUUAACACAUGCAAGUCGAACGGUAAGGCCCUGGCUUUGUGUCGUGCUCGAGUGGCGAACGGGCGAGUAACACGUGAGUAACCUGCCCUUUUCUUUGGGAUAACUUCUGGAAACUGGUGCUAAUACCGGAUAGUCACUCCUCAUCCCUGGUGGUGGUUUGAAAGUGUCGUCGGUUGGGUAUGGACGCGCGGCUUACCAGCUUGUUGGUGGGGUGGUGGCUUACUAAGGCUUGGAUGGGUAGCCGGCCUGAGAGGGUGAUCGGGCGCAUUGGGACAGAGUUGCGGCCGAGGCUGCAGUGGGGAGCAUUGGUGGAGGGUAGAGCGCAAGAUGCGGCGGCGUGGUGGAGCGGCUGCGGGUGCGGGAGGACGGCCUUCGGGUUGUAAACGGAUUAGGCCUGUGACGGGGCGUGAUGAAGGUAGAUGGGGAAAAAGGCACGGGUAAACUAGGG
rnacentral:rRNA from 1 species